UUGAACGCUGGCGGUAUGCUUAACACAUGCAAGUCGAACGGAAACGAUGGUAGCUUGCUACCAGGCGUCAAGUGGCGGACGGGUGAGUAACGCGUAGGAAUCUGCCCAGUAGUGGGGGACAACCAGGGGAAACCCUGGCUAAUACCGCAUACACUCUACGGAGAAAAGGAGGCCUCUUCUUGAAAGCUUUCGCUAUUGGAUGAGCCUGCGUGAGAUUAGCUAGUUGGUAGGGUAAAGGCCUACCAAGGCGAUGAUCUCUAGCUGGUCUGAGAGGAUGAUCAGCCACACUGGGACUGAGACACGGCCCAGACUCCUACGGGAGGCAGCAGUGGGGAAUAUUGGACAAUGGGCGCAAGCCUGAUCCAGCAAUACCGCGUGUGUGAAGAAGGCCUGAGGGUUGUAAAGCACUUUCAAUUGGGAAGAAAAGCCUGAGGUUAAUAGCCUCGAGUCUUGACGUUAACUUUAGAACAAGCACCGGCUAACUCCGUGCCAGCAGCCGCGGUAAUACGGGGGGUGCACGCGUUAAUCGGAUUUACUGGGCGUAAAGCGCGCGUAGGUGGUUUGGCAAGUUGGAUGUGAAAGCCCCGAGCUCAACCUGGGAAUUGCAUCCAAAACUGCUAAGACUAGAGUGUGGAGAGGGAAGUGGAAUUCCGGGUGUAGCGGUGAAAUGCGUAGAUAUCCGGAGGAACACCAGUGGCCAAGGCGGCUUCCUGGACCAACACUGACGCGGAGGUGCGAAAGCGUGGGGAGCAAACAGGAUUAGAUCCCCUGGUAGUCCACUCCGUAAACGAUGUCAACUAGCCGUUGGGAGGCUUGACCUUUUAGUGGCGCAGCUAACGCGAUAAGUUGACCGCCUGGGGAGUACGGUCGCAAGAUUAAAACUCAAAUGAAUUGACGGGGGCCCGCACAAGCGGUGGAGCAUGUGGUUUAAUUCGAUGCAACGCGAAGAACCUUACCAGGCCUUGACAUCCUGCGAUCUUACUAGAGAUAGUUUGGUGCCUUCGGGAAUUCUGUGACAGGUGCUGCAUGGCUGUCGUCAGCUCGUGUCGUGAGAUGUUGGGUUAAGUCCCGCAACGAGCGCAACCCUUAUCCUAUGUUGCCAGCGCGUAAUGGCGGGGACUUUAAGGAGACUGCCGGUGAUAAACCGGAGGAAGGUGGGGACGACGUCAAGUCAUCAUGGCCCUUAUGGGUAGGGCUACACACGUGCUACAAUGGCUGGUACAGAGGGCUGCUAACUUGCGAGAGUACGCUAAUCCCUUAAAGCCGGUCCUAGUCCGGAUUGGAGUCUGCAACUCGACCCCAUGAAGUCGGAGUCGCUAGUAAUCGCAGAUCAGCCACGCUGCGGUGAAUACGUUCCCGGGCCUUGUACACACCGCCCGUCAAGGGCGAA
rnacentral:rRNA from 1 species